GUGGGUGUAGCUCAGUGGCAGAGCACAUGUUUAGCAUGAAGGAAGUCCUGGGUUCAAUCCCCAGUACCCCCA
rnacentral:tRNA from 1 species